rnacentral:rRNA from 1 species
AGUGUAGGGUUCCUAGCGAGCCCAACCUCCCACCCGUGUUUACUGUACCUUAGUUGCUUCGGCGGGCCCGCCAUUCAUGGCCGCCGGGGGCUCUCAGCCCCGGGCCCGCGCCCGCCGGAGACACCACGAACUCUGUCUGAUCUAGUGAAGUCUGAGUUGAUUGUAUCGCAAUCAGUUAAAACUUUCAACAAUGGAUCUCUUGGUUCCGGCAUCGAUGAAGAACGCAGCGAAAUGCGAUAACUAGUGUGAAUUGCAGAAUUCCGUGAAUCAUCGAGUCUUUGAACGCACAUUGCGCCCCCUGGUAUUCCGGGGGGCAUGCCUGUCCGAGCGUCAUUGCUGCCCAUCAAGCACGGCUUGUGUGUUGGGUCGUCGUCCCCUCUCCGGGGGGGACGGGCCCCAAAGGCAGCGGCGGCACCGCGUCCGAUCCUCGAGCGUAUGGGGCUUUGUCACCCGCUCUGUAGGCCCGGCCGGCGCUUGCCGAACGCAAAUCAAUCUUUUUCCAGGUUGACCUCGGAUCAGGUAGGGAUACCCGCUGAACUUAAGCAUAUCAAU